rnacentral:rRNA from 1 species
GAUGAACGCUGGCGGUAUGCUUAACACAUGCAAGUCGAACGGUCUCUUCGGAGAUAGUGGCGGACGGGUGAGUAACGCGUGAGAACAUGCCUUUAGAUUGGGGACAACAGUUGGAAACGACUGCUAAUACCGAAUGUGCCUUAGGGUGAAAGAUUUAUUGUCUAGAGAUUGGCUCGCGUCAGAUUAGCUAGUUGGAGUGGUAACGGCACACCAAGGCGACGAUCUGUACUUGGUCUGAGAGGAUGACCAGGCACACUGGAACUGAGACACGGUCCAGACUCCUACGGGAGGCAGCAGUGGGGAAUUUUCCGCAAUGGGCGAAAGCCUGACGGAGCAAUACCGCGUGAGGGAGGACGGCUUUUGGGUUGUAAACCUCUUUUAUCAGGGAAGAAUCGAUGACGGUACCUGAUGAAUCAGCAUCGGCUAACUCCGUGCCAGCAGCCGCGGUAAUACGGAGGAUGCAAGCGUUAUCCGGAAUUAUUGGGCGUAAAGCGUCCGUAGGUGGUUUAUCAAGUCUGCUGUCAAAGCGUGCGGCUUAACCGCAUAAGGGCAGUGGAAACUGAUGAACUAGAGUGCGAUAGGGGUAACAGGAAUUCCCAGUGUAGCGGUGAAAUGCGUAGAUAUUGGGAAGAACACCAGCGGCGAAAGCGUGUUACUGGGUCUGCACUGACACUGAGGGACGAAAGCUAGGGGAGCGAAAGGGAUUAGAUACCCCUGUAGUCCUAGCCGUAAACGAUGACAACUAGGCGUGGUUCGUAUCGACCCGAGCCGUGCCGUAGCCAACGCGUUAAGUUGUCCGCCUGGGGAGUACGCACGCAAGUGUGAAACUCAAAGGAAUUGACGGGGGCCCGCACAAGCGGUGGAGUAUGUGGUUUAAUUCGAUGCAACGCGAAGAACCUUACCAAGGCUUGACAUCCUCGGAACCCUGAUGAAAGUUAGGGGUGCCUUCGGG